rnacentral:rRNA from 1 species
ACGAACGCUGGCGGCGUGCCUAAUACAUGCAAGUAGCACGCUGAAGAGAGGAGCUUACUCUUCUUGGAUGAGUUGCGAACGGGUGAGUAACGCGUAGGUAACCUGCCUUGUAGCGGGGGAUAACUAUUGGAAACGAUAGCUAAUACCGCAUAACAAUGGAUGACACAUGUCAUUUAUUUGAAAGGGGCAAUUGCUCCACUACAAGAUGGACCUGCGUUGUAUUAGCUAGUAGGUGAGGUAAUGGCUCACCUAGGCGACGAUACAUAGCCGACCUGAGAGGGUGAUCGGCCACACUGGGACUGAGACACGGCCCAGACUCCUACGGGAGGCAGCAGUAGGGAAUCUUCGGCAAUGGGGGCAACCCUGACCGAGCAACGCCGCGUGAGUGAAGAAGGUUUUCGGAUCGUAAAGCUCUGUUGUAAGUCAAGAACGGGUGUGAGGGUGGAAAGUUCACACUGUGACGGUAGCUUACCAGAAAGGGACGGCUAACUACGUG